rnacentral:rRNA from 1 species
GACGAACGCUGGCGGCGUGCCUAAUACAUGCAAGUCGAACGCUUCUUUCCUCCCGAGUGCUUGCACUCAAUUGGAAAGAGGAGUGGCGGACGGGUGAGUAACACGUGGGUAACCUACCCAUCAGAGGGGGAUAACACUUGGAAACAGGUGCUAAUACCGCAUAACAGUUUAUGCCGCAUGGCAUAAGAGUGAAAGGCGCCUUCGGGUGUCGCUGAUGGAUGGACCCGCGGUGCAUUAGCUAGUUGGUGAGGUAACGGCUCACCAAGGCCACGAUGCAUAGCCGACCUGAGAGGGUGAUCGGCCACACUGGGACUGAGACACGGCCCAGACUCCUACGGGAGGCAGCAGUAGGGAAUCUUCGGCAAUGGACGAAAGUCUGACCGAGCAACGCCGCGUGAGUGAAGAAGGUUUUCGGAUCGUAAAACUCUGUUGUUAGAGAAGAACAAGGACGUUAGUAACUGAACGUCCCCUGACGGUAUCUAACCAGAAAGCCACGGCUAACUACGUG